UGGUUCUCAGUUGUACGGCCUUUUUCCAGAUCAUAAUCAUUGAGUACCUUGGUGCAUUUGCAAACACAACACCCCUCACUUGCGCGCAAUGGUUCCUCAGCAUAUUUAUCGGAUUCUUAGGCAUGCCAAUUGCAGCGGGCUUAAAGAUGAUCCCUGUGGACACGUAACUCAGAAAAUGCUGAUUUUGGAAUUAAAAGCACAAUCCUCUGCCUGGUAAAAUAGCUCUAACUUCCCUAUUCUGAAGCGAAAGAUGUUAUUGAACAUGAAGGAUGAUGUGCCAUUACCUUGUUUGAGUAGAAGAUCUAAAGGUUAAAUGAAAAUUUGGAAUCUUACUAUCACCAAUUACUACCACCAUUGUUGGUUUGCUUUGUAACAUUCCAAAUUUCAGUUUAAUUUUCUUUAGUCCUCUUUUCAAAACUUGGAAUUUUGCUAUUGUUUAUGACUAUGCUGGAAUUGAAUGAUUAUGUAGAAACGGAUGGAAGUGUAGAGGUUAGGAUGGUAAGAAUUAAUGGCUUCAUUCCAAAAUUUGCAAGAAUGCAUACAUUCAUCUUCCAGACGAGCACACCCAGCAAGCAAAUAAAUUAGAUAUGUUGCAAGGCUGUGACUGUGAACCUAUUUAAAAUAAUGUCUCAGUUGCAUUUGUAUGUGAGCAGAGUUGCAUGGUUGGAUUUAUUUAGGCUGCUUUGGUCCAACUUGGUAUUGUCAGGUGCAAAUGUAAGCUUGCAUGAAAGUGGAAGUUCUUGAUAGGAUGCAAAAACACAUAAGAGAGGAGAAUGUUGUAAGCGCUGUAGGAUUUUUUUUUAACACAAUAGUUUAAAUUUCGUCAGUCUUUGUUCUUUUUACUAGCUCCAUAGUGGUGAAUAGAAAUUGUGGCUGGGGAUCUCCAUGCUAAGCUGCAAAAUGUUAUCAUUAUUAUAAGCAUUUUUUUAAUUAAACAGAUGCAAUGGGUGAGUGCAGGGUUGCUCUCCAUCUCUCUGAAAUUCAACUUUGUUCUACAUUAUCAUGUUCUUUGUUUGUUUUGUUUUUGCACAUGGUGAUUCUAUGCAAAAAGUUUGAAGGGCACCUCACCAGCAAAUUGCCCGGAGACUAUCACGUGCACCUCACCCUAGAUUAAACAGACAUGUAAGAGCAAGUGGCACAUUGAUAGGACGCAUGGUUAGAGAAUUAGAGACAAAGAUGUGAGAAAAAGGCGAAAACGGCCCGUUUGGGGGGGC